rnacentral:tRNA from 1 species
CAGGGUGUAGUUCAGAUGGCAGAACGCCAGGCUGGGGGUCUGGAGGUCGUGGGUUCAAGUCCGCCACCCUGA